rnacentral:rRNA from 1 species
CGACGUCAAAUCAUCAUGCCCUUUAUGUCCUGGGCUACACACGUACUACAAUGGGUGUAACAGAGAGAAGCAAAGCAGCAAUGUGGAGCGAAACUUUAAAAAGCAUCCUCAGUUCGGAUUGAAGGCUGAAAUUCGCCUUUAUGAAGUCGGAAUUGCUAGUAAUGGCAGGUCAGCAUACUCGCCGUCAUAGUUCCGGCCUU